rnacentral:rRNA from 1 species
GUAGGUGGCAAGCGUUGUCCGGAAUUAUUGGGCGUAAAGCGCGCGCAGGCGGUUCUUUAAGUCUGAUGUGAAAGCCCACGGCUCAACCGUGGAGGGUCAUUGGAAACUGGAGAACUUGAGUACAGAAGAGGAAAGCGGAAUUCCACGUGUAGCGGUGAAAUGCGUAGAGAUGUGGAGGAACACCAGUGGCGAAGGCGGCUUUCUGGUCUGUAACUGACGCUGAGGCGCGAAAGCGUGGGGAGCAAACAGGGAUUAGAUACCCUGGUAGUCCACGCCGUAAACGAUGAGUGCUAAGUGUUAGGGGGGUUUCCGCCCCCCUUAGUGCUGCAGCUAACGCAUUAAGCACGCCGCCUGGGGAGUACGGCCGCAAGGCUG